rnacentral:rRNA from 1 species
GAUGAACGCUGGCGGCGUGCCUAAUACAUGCAAGUCGAGCGAACGGACGAGAAGCUUGCUUCUCUGAUGUUAGCGGCGGACGGAUGAGUAACACGUGGAUAACCUACCUAUAAGACUGGGAUAACUUCGGGAAACCGGAGCUAAUACCGGAUAAUAUUUUGAACCGCAUGGUUCAAAAGUGAAAGACGGUCUUGCUGUCACUUAUAGAUGGAUCCGCGCUGCAUUAGCUAGUUGGUAAGGUAACGGCUUACCGAGGCAACGAUGCAUAGCCGACCUGAGAGGGUGAUCGGCCACACUGGAGCUGAGACACGGUCCAGACUCCUACGGGAGGCAGCAGUAGGGAAUCUUCCGCAAUGGGCGAAAGCCUGACGGAGCAACGCCGCGUGAGUGAUGAAGGUCUUCGGAUCGUAAAACUCUGUUAUUAGGGAAGAACAUAUGUGUAAGUAACUGUGCACAUCUUGACGGUACCUAAUCAGAAAGCCACGGCUAACUACGUG